ACAUAGUUACGUGUUUUGCAUUUAAAUUAUUUAUGUUAGUGGUUGUGCAUUGACGUUUUCUACAUGAACGUAUUUUGUCGUUAAUAUCCAAACUGCUAGUGGUGUGUAAAUUAAUGAUUGUGCAUUGAUGUUUUAUACAUGAACUCGUUUCCAAACGAGCUAUUUGUGGUAUACUUCGUAGCCUAUUUGGAGCAAAACGAAAAUAAGCUUUAGGCAUACUAUGGCCCGUCUUUCUCCAUCAUUAGGUAUCCUCCACAUCAUAGGUAGGAACGCCCCUUAAUCGUGCAAACAUCCUCAGUGUUUCUCUCCCUGUCAUCUGAUCUAGCAGUGCAUCAAACUGCGGACAAUAUCCAAUUUGCUGUUGCACCUAUAGAAGAGAAGUUCCAGAUUUGUGGCCUGACCUAUUCGUGGAUUUUUCGGUGGAACAUAUAUGUACAGGCAUCAAUAAGCAUCAAUUUUCAGUUAUCGGCGAUUUUUGCAUAUCAUCACGCCGUUGAAAUGGAAAUACCACUGAUAACCGGGGACUGCGUGUAUCCAUAUUAUUUACAGAACAUUCACCGAUUUGCUGUAUUUUUCAGAGAAGUAUUCACUAAUUACUGUAUUUUUUUUUCAUUUUCGUGACUAGUAAAUACAGUUUUUGCAACAAAACUCAGGUAUACUGGUUAAUGUUUUUAAGGCUUUUUUUUUUUUUGGUGUUUGAACUAUCAAAAUAGGCAGUUAUGUAUAAGCAGUUUUAGAGAGGUGUCAAGUAUUCAGGGAUUUCAGCUAUUUGCUAUUUGCAGAGGUUGUGGUACACAUCCCCAUGAAUACUGGGUUUCAACUGUUUUAUGGUUAAAAAAUUUCUGGUUCAAAUGCAUUUAAAAUGGAAAUAUAAUAAUAAAGAUGAAAUAAGAUUAAAAUGAAAUAAAACUGUUUGAGGAGAUAGAGAUGCUAAUUGCUGCUUUGUAUAUGUUACUUAAUUUUUUGGAUGACUUAUCUGAGCAAACAUCUUGUAUGUUCAUGAAUACAAAUAUAAAAUUUGGGAGAGUAGUUUUGUUUAAUUUAUUAUAAAUAAGUAAUCUCUGAACCAAGCUUAUACAUCAGCCAUUCACAUAAAUUUAACAAAUAAUGUUUCUGUAAUAAUUCAUAGCAGCCAGCAAUGGUGCUAAUGUUUCUUGAGGUAACAAGAUAGACCUGAAAAGUGGGUGAACUACCAUUAACGUCACUUUUUUGACAGUUGAUUUACUGACCUACCUGUGCCCAGUACCCUAGUUUGGGGCUAAUAUUUCCAAACAUUAUUAUAUUAAAGAUUCCUGUCAAUAAAAGAAAUAUUCUUGAUAUAAUUAUCUUUGUGGCCUCAUAUGGCUUGAUUUAGGACUUAAUUUUUUCCUUUACUUCCAAUCAUUAGAAUUCCCUGCUCUCAAUUUCCAUGAUUUCUGCUUAGUCUCCCAUCUUUUUAAGAGAUGGGUCAUUUCUUCCUUCCCCUUCCAAUCUAGACCAUGAUCGGCCUGACACAUUGGUCAUUGCUUUAAAAAGGUUUGGGAGCACCCACUGAUCUUCACAUAUGAUUCUCUCAUACCUUCUUAUGUUCACCAUAUUUUUCAAGUACCAGUACACUCCCGACAGAAACAUCUGUACUACAAUCGACCCCCGCCUAUUCACUGUUCUGGAUUCACGGAUUUCUCUAUGGAACAUGUAUACUUCAUGUAUACACAUUAUUCGUGGAAUUUUUGCCUAUUCGUGGUAUUUUUCACUGGGAAAUAUUCACUAAUUACUGUAUUUUUAUAUGAUUUUUAUAACUAAAUAAAUGCACUUUUUGUGAUAAAACUAUUAAAAUACUAAGGUAUAAGCAUCUUUAGAGUUUUUUUUGUGUGUGUGUGUGUUUGAAUAAUCAAACCGGCAGUUCUAAGUAUUUUUAGAGGGUUUUAAGUAUUCGUGGAUUUUAGCCAUUCGCGAGAGGUUGUGGUACAUAUCCCCUGUGAAUACCAGGGGUCGACUGUAUGUACUUUGAAUUUAUAGCUAAUUUUUUAUGGAUUUAUUCAUCACUUCAUAAAAAAUAUAUUUCAAUGGCAAUGAAAUGUGUAAAAUUAAAUACCCACCUUUUUUAAAUCUGACUUUAUACUGUAUCCAUUGACAUAUGCAUCUCCUAUAGACACUUGUAAAUCUCCUGUUAACAUUUUAAAUGUCGUUGUC